CCCCUCCGCUCCGCCGCCGCACGCCGGGGAGGUGGCGACAAAGGGGCCCCGGCCCGCCCCGCCCCGGCGGGGAGCGGAGCCGGGACGAGGACAAAACUAUCCCGGCGGAGACGGACUGCGAACAAUACCCGGCUGGGCGGGGGCUGCGCGCUCACGGCGGCUCCGCAGGGCCCCGGCAAGGCUGCCUCGGCCCCGCCGGCCGCCAGGGGAGCGGCUCCGCCGCCCCGCGCGCUCUCCCCACCCCCGUGGGCCCUCGCGCACUGGAGGGGGAGGGAAGAGGAGGGGGAGAGAAGAGGAGGGGGAGAGCAGGGAGGCGGUGGGAUGGGUCGCGCAUGCGCGCCUGGCCCCCGCCUCGUCGCUACGGGAGCGUGCGCAAAGCGGGUUUAGUGCAGAAGCUGCUUCUGUCUUCUACCUGAACACAGUUUAUUUCCACUUUUCCAAAGGUGUUAUCCUGUCUCAGAAGUAAAAAGCAUAAUUGCAACUGAAAGAUUAUUAUUGAUUUGGAGCAACGUUUUUGUCACAUGGGAAAUGAUCUCCAUCAAACUGCAAGCUCUUCCACAACCUUUUGUCCCUGCUCACUUUGUUCUCAUAUAGUUUGCCCAUGCAGUGUUUAAGCUGAAGUUCAGAUGAAUUAAGCACAACUAAGAACUAUAAUCCCCUGAAAAGUUUAAAUUGUGUCCUAUCUUAAGAGUCAGUAUGUAUCAGACUUCAAAAUUCGUAAGGAAAUUACCACUUGAUCAAUACCAUUUUUUCCUGUCUCUUAAGCAAAAGCGAAAAUAAUGUGAAAACCUAGACUGAGGUAAUCAUUUUAUGUGAUACUGUUCUUUAUAGGGUUUUUUUUGGCCUGUGUUCCAAAACAACCUUAAAAAAGGUUUUGUAUGCUUGUCUGUAAUUUUUUCACUUUCUCUUGUCAAUUUUAGAACAGCACCAUUAUAUAGAAACACAAGUUUUUGCUUGUCUGACUCUACUUCAGGCUGCAUCUGAGAAAUAAGUUUGCUUUUUUUUUUUCCCCUUAGCUUUGCAUAUUUCAUGUUUUUGAUGUUGUAAGUAGUGUGGUAUUUCAGUACCUUCUUAUGAGUCCUCUGCACGCAGCAAAUCUUUUUGUUUUCAGAAACAAAUCGAUAUCACACCUGUUAGUUGCAUCCCUGCUGCCUUGUUCUCAAAGGACUGUACCGUGUCUUGCACAGCCUUGGGCCAGUACAAACUUGGAACUGUGUUUUCUUUUAAUUUAUUGAUGUCUGAUAAAACUGAUCAGUAAAUGCACGUGUAUCUGUCAUUCCCAU
rnacentral:lncRNA from 1 species